GAUGAACGCUGGCGGCGUGCCUAACACAUGCAAGUCGAACGGAGUCGUUUUGGAAAUCUCUUCGGAGAUGGAAUUCUCGACUUAGUGGCGGACGGGUGAGUAACGCGUGAGCAAUCUGCCUUUAAGAGGGGGAUAACAGUCGGAAACGGCUGCUAAUACCGCAUAAAGCAUUAAAUUCGCAUGUUUUUGAUGCCAAAGGAGCAAUCCGCUUUUAGAUGAGCUCGCGUCUGAUUAGCUAGUUGGCGGGGUAACGGCCCACCAAGGCGACGAUCAGUAGCCGGACUGAGAGGUUGAACGGCCACAUUGGGACUGAGACACGGCCCAGACUCCUACGGGAGGCGGCAGUGGGGAAUAUUGCGCAAUGGGGGAAACCCUGACGCAGCAACGCCGCGUGAUUGAAGAAGGCCUUCGGGUUGUAAAGAUCUUUAAUCAGGGACGAAACAAAUGACGGUACCUGAAGAAUAAGCUCCGGCUAACUACGUG
rnacentral:rRNA from 1 species